UACGAAGGGGGCUAGCGUUGUUCGGAAUACUGGGCGUAAAGCGUGCGCAGGCGGCUUCUCAAGUCAGGGGUGAAAGCCCAGAGCUCAACUCUGGAAUUGCCUUUGAGACUGAGUGGGCUUGAGUACGAGAGAGGUGAGUGGAAGUUCCCAGUGUAGAGGGUGAAAUUCGUAGAUAUUGGGAAGAACACCGGUGGCGAAGGCGGCUCACUGGACCGGUACUGACGCUGAUGCGCGAAAGCGUGGG
rnacentral:rRNA from 1 species